rnacentral:sRNA from 1 species
GGACAUUCCUAAACAAAGGGGCUGCUUUGGUUGACGUAUUGUGGGGGGUGGGGGGUGAGGACAGCUGCAUUUCAUUCUAGGUUCUUUUAAAAAAUGUUUUAAUAACAUGAUUGUUUGUAAAAGCUCCCCCGAAAAAACGAUUUUAAGAGUGUUUUGGGAAGUGCAACUGGAUAAAUGAAACACGUUAAUGUCACUGUUGUUUGUGCUUUAUUUACAUUGGCAGUGAGUGUCAGAAUCUACCUAGAGCACAUCUUGCCACUUUUGUCCACAGGAGUCACUACUAAUCAUCAUAACUGGUGUCUAGUGUGAAAGUGAAGCUUGGAAUGUAAACAGAGUCCGAGUGUGUGUUGGCAUGUGACUGGAUUCACUCCUGCAUGUUGCUAGAAGGGAAUUUGGGGCUGUAUAGGAAAUAGCAAGAGGUGAUGAAGACACCUUUUAUUAUCUAUUUAUUGCCAUGUCGCUGGUAGUAUUUAGUUCCACACACAUUGUAUUUCACAAGAUGAGUCUCAUCCGUCUUGCUUUUUCAACUUUCUCCUACCAGUGAAAAAAUAAGCCAGGGCAGUUUUGAUGACUUCACAUUUCAUUGGUAUUUGUUUUUCAUGGGCAGUUUCAUGCUGUCAGGUUGCCCUUCAGAGAAUCAGGGAAUGCCUCGUAGAAUAUUAACGACAAAUUGUUGAAUUUGCACAGCUUGUUUUGUCUCCCUGAAUUAGUAUGUGUAAGAAAAACCAAUGGAAGAUUUUAGCAGGCUCUGAAAGUAGAAUGCCCGCUGAAGCAAACGGCAGGGUUGUUCUUCCAAGGCGUAUUAAAUAUGGGUACACUUCAGUUUGCAGACUUGGUGUGCUGCAGAAUAUCACAUAUGAAGAUAUUUUGACCGCUAUUUAGAAGAGUGACCUCAUAAACCUUUUAGCAAAGUAGACACACAUACCUACCACAUUUCUUAAAAGUAGAUUUGUAUUUUGAUUUGAGAUUGAUGAAAAGCAUGGUAUGUUUGGAGUGCACUUAGUUAUGUCCCAUCUCAUAAAGACUGUUGAGCUCUCUGCACUGCUGAUGAUGAAGCUUUGCAUGAACCCAGAAAACGGGGAUGCCAAAGCAGAGGGCUUAGGUGCUGUUCCUUGCAUCAUCAGCAGAGGUCUGUCCACUUUGUAGAAGGGAGAGUCCCGUAUUCUCAGAGUAAAAGUUGUUUCUGGAAUUGAUCUCGCCAAAAAGGACAUCUUUGGAGCCAGUGAUCCGUACGUGAAACUUUCAUUGUACGUAGCGGAUGAGAAUAGAGAACUUGCUUUGGUCCAGACAAAAACAAUUAAAAAG